UACUAAGGGAGAUAACAACGUUUUACUGAUGUAAAACUGGUUCCCUGUUUUAAUCUAAGGAUAUAUCGCCUAUAUAUAUGGGUCACGGAUUCAGUUCCGUUGUCGUCUGUUGAUAACGUGUGUAAACAAUUACAGCUGAUCGCACGGAUGAGAGGAAGGUUUAUCAAAAAGGUUAAAUUCAUGCGUUCGUUUAAAAUGAAGAAUAUGAAUAGCUUCAGCCUGAAAGUUCACACAGUCUUAAAUGAUUUUCAACUUAUAAGAUCAUAUGAUAUAAGUUUUUGUGAGUUGGAGAAAUUCGGCGUCCGAUCACAGUGACCUUUCGUUUGACGAAACCUGGAAAGAAGGUCGACGGCUAGCUCUGGUUCACAACCUAGCACAGAAUCUGUUCGUUAGGAUGUGUGACUGUCCCCUGCGGAUACUGUCGGCAAACGGAAAUACGACCUUGGAGGUGGAGGCAGUGGAGCAUUUUGUCCAUACCAUGCUACCUUGUAGUAGCUGCAGUGCAUGUAACCUGCAUAUCAUGCAUAUGUUACAGCGUAGAAACGAGGAAAAGAAAUGGGACUGGUGAAUUUGUUAUCAAUUCAAAAGCUGCACUUGGAAUGAUACAUGCAGGAAUUAGUGCCACACAUUUUAACAUUUUCUUAAUGGAUUGAAUGUACUUUCUGUGAAUCCAUCCACCAUACAGAAAAAGAAGAAUGAAACCGGAAAGAAAAUAUUUGCAGUUGCAAUAGAAUCCUGUAAAUUAAAUCAGGAGAUGAAACAGUUUUAAACAUGGUUAAUAUUAUGAGUAAUUGGAAGGUUGAAGCCAGUUUUGUUGCAGAAUGGCAAAUGUUUGGUACUGGUUGGAACUAUGAAAGUAAUACAGGUCUUAGGGUGGAUCAUCAUCCUUUUAAAGAACAACAGGCUAUUAGCAGCAGUUUUACAGAAAAAUGAAGGAUAUAAAUGGCUGUCAAUGAUAAAUAAAUUAAACUUUCAGGUAAAUGCAACAUCAGAACGUUCCCCCGGCAAAUUUACUCUGAAAGUUUGGGAAAGUAUGAAUUAGAAAUUGGAGAGGCAAAGAGAUAACCAGAAAACAAUGAAUUUAAAAGAGAAGAAUUGAAAUAAAAAGAAUAGAAAGAAGGCCCCAUGUAGUUCAAAUGUUAAAGAAGAAACAACAUAUGAAAUAGAAACUGAAGUAAACGACACUGCUUUAGUGCUUGUGACAUUCAGCAAAUUCCUUCUCAUAUUCUUUAUAAUAUAUAUAUAUAUAUAUAUAUAGAUCAAUGUGUAAAAUUUGAUUUUCAAACAAGACGUCUUUUAAGAAAUAGUGACAUCACUCAGGUAGCCGCUGUCAGUGGAUCAAACCUAUUCCAGAGAUGUAAUAUGCCAAGAUGUGACAUUUCAAAUGAAGCGAGCAAAAUAACUGGUAUUUUCUUUUCGUAAUGCUACUUAUAGUAAUAUGAUAUAUCUGAAUGGGAGCAACCUGUACUAUUCAAUAUGGAUCGAAGGAUUGACAAUUUUGACAGGGAACAAAAUGAACUCUAAUUAUGCUAUGACUAUCAAUCAGUAUUUGACUGAAUCAGAGGAGUAAACUAUAUACAUAUUUUUAAAUAUAACAGUCUAUAUCUUUGCUUAAUUAUUGAGGCAUUAAAAAUAAAGAAAGUUGAAAAACCUUUGAAAAAGUUAUAAUUUCAUCAUUUUUUGCUUAUGUUACUAUGACAACUGAA